rnacentral:rRNA from 1 species
UUUGACCUCAAAUCAGGUAGGACUACCCGCUGAACUUAAGCAUAUCAAUAAGCGGAGGAAAAGAAACUAACAAGGAUUCCCCUAGUAACUGCGAGUGAAGCGGGAAAAGCUCAAAUUUAAAAUCUGGUAGUCUUUGGCUGCCCGAGUUGUAAUCUAGAGAAGCAUUAUCUGCACUGGACUGUGUAUAAGUAUCCUGGAAUGGAUCAUCAUAGAGGGUGAGAAUCCCGUCUUUGACACAGACUCCCUUUGCCUUGUGAUGUGCUCUCAAAGAGUCGAGUUGUUUGGGAAUGCAGCUCUAAAUGGGUGGUAAAUUCCAUCUAAAGCUAAAUAUUGGCGAGAGACCGAUAGCGAACAAGUACCGUGAGGGAAAGAUGAAAAGAACUUUGGAAAGAGAGUUAAACAGUACGUGAAAUUGCUGAAAGGGAAACGCUUGAAGUCAGUCGCGUUGGCUGGGGAUCAACCUUGCUUUUUGCUUGGCUUACUUCCCAGUUGACGGGUCAGCAUCAGUUUUGACCGGUGGAUAAAGG